UGGCUUACAGUUCCAAGGUUUAGUCCAUUAUCAUCAUGGCAGGAGCAUGAUGGUUCACACACAGACAUGGUGCUGGAGAAGAAGUCUAGGGGCCUGACAUGAGCACCCUAAAUCUCAGAGCCUGCCCCCAGUGACAAAGUAAUACCCCCUAAUAGCAAUACACCCUAUGAGCGUAUGGGGGCCAUUUUCUUUCAAAUAACCACUUUCUUCCUUCCUUCCUUCCUUCCUUCCUUCCUUCCUCCCUCCCUUCCUUCCUGUCUUCCUUCCUUCCUUCCUUUCCUUCUUUAAGACAGGGUCUCUCUGUGUAGUCCAGGAUGUACUGGAACUUGCUAUGUAGACCAGGCUGGCCUCAACCUCACAGAGAUCCCCUUGCCUCUGUCUCCUGUGCGCUGGGAUUAAAGGUGAGUGUCACAGUGCACAACGAUGCAAUGUUCUUAAUGGACCAGUCAGGCUGAAACACUGACCUUUGAAACAAUGAAAGAACAAGCAUUGUUCUAGUUAUUAUUAACUGUGAACUUGACACGGUCUAGAAGACCUCAAAAAAAGUCUCUGAACUGAGUAAUUAGGUUUAUAAAGUUGGUUUGUGGACAUGUACUUUAAAGUUUGUUUUCAUUAUCUUAAUUGAGAUAGGAGAGCUCAGCCCAUGUGGGUGGCACCAUUCCCUGGGCAGGUGAUCCUGGGCUGUACAAGGAAGCCAGUUGAUCAUGACCGAGAAAAUCAAUUGUCCAAGGUUCUUCCCUCCAAAUUCUUUCCUGCCCUGACUUCAUUCAAUGAUGGACAUGACCUAGACAGUGAAACCAAACACACCCUUCUUCCCUAGGCUGAUUUUGGUCAGAGUGAUUUAUCGCAGCAACAGAAAGGAAACCAGGACACAUUUGUUUAAAAAGAAGUUAGAGUGAGGUGAAAGGGAAAUAGGCCAUUAAUCAGGAUUCCAUGCAAGUUAAAAAAAAAUAGAACUGACUGUGCUUUAAAAUAAUUCUUCCACACCAAUUAUUUUACAUACCAUGUAUUUAAACACACACAGAUAAACAAUAUAUAGGUUCAACGACACUCUUUUAAGUACAUCUGAUUUUCUUCAGGGCUGGGACUGAAUCCAGGACCUCACAUAUGGGGAGCAAGCACUCUGCCAACCUACAAAACAACCCACCAGUAACAACAACAAAAAUCCUUUAUAUCAUGAAAAUGAAAAGCUAAAAGUAAAACAUCAAUUCCAGUGGAACAUAAGGCACAUAUUUUAAAGCAGAACACCAUUAUGAUUGUCUGCUUUUAAUUGGUAAUUUUCAAAGUGAAAAAAACUGGUCCAACAAACCUAACUGACUGAGGCUCACUGACCUUCCAUAACUAGGGCACAGAGCGCCCCCUACUGGGUCUUCCUGACUGAAUCCAAAAGCUCAUUCUAUUGACUUAGACUUGAGUUUAACACCAAUAUUUGAAACUUUAAGGGCUUUGACAACUCAUCGAUGUAUAGGUACUUGUUUCUUGUUCCCAUAUUCAUCUUGCAAUGCUCCAUUAAGAGUUAGAAACCUUCCUGAAAAAACCUCCAGUAAACAGCGAAAUCUCAAUAACAGCAGUCACAAUCGCUACAGUGAACAUCUGCAUUAGUGGCCACACAGAGACUCUCAAAAUAAUGUUUUGAUGUGUAAUUCACACACCAUAAAUUUAAAAGUUUCCAGCAAGGCAUUUUUCUAUACUUCAAGCUUACCUUGAGCUUGGAAUCUUCCCAACCCAACCUUUUCAGUGUUAGAUUUACAAAACUCUCCCAGCUAUCCCAGUUUAUUUUUCUUUAAAAAUGUAUUUUGAAGGCCAGGCAUUGAAGUGGAAAUUUCUUGUUUCAUUAGAGACUCUUUGGGGUUUUCUUGAAACUCUCUUUUUUUUGUUUUAAUAUAAGUGCAGUCUUGCUCUCUUCAUACAUACCAGAAGAGGGCAUCCUAUCCCAUUGCAGAUGGUUGUGAGCCACUAUGGGGUUGCUAGGAAUCGAACUGAGGACCUCUUAAAGAGCAGGCAGGCCUCUUAACUGCUGAGCCACCUCCCCAGCUCAUUCUGGAAAGUCUUUUCUGAAAAUAUUUGUUGCUGAGAACCGCCAUGAAUGUUUUCUGGAAGCAAUCUGGUGAAAGGGCAUGUGAUGUUUUUCUGGAGCGAAUGCUUGAGAGAACAUGUGAUAUCUGGAAAGAGUAUGAGUGGAAACCAACAGACAGCAGACGAUGCUUUUGCACUGGUUCACCUUGCAGCUCACUGCUGGUCUUCCUUGGGCUUCUCUGACGCUGGUCUUCCCUGAGGUCGCUCUUGCCUUGGUUCAUUGCUUUCUUCAUUUGUCCUGACUCUGAGAGAGAAAUGCAUCAAUGAACGUCUGGUGGUGUUCCAGCUGCUUCUGCUGACUCCUGCUGAUUGGUUGGUUGGUGGAGCCUGGAGGUUUCUUCUGGAAGGAGCCACUGUGACUGAUUUGUGUUUGGUGUUUGCUGAGUGGACUGGACUGCUGCUGACUGUGAAGAUUGGAAUCACCCCAAAGACUAUUUCUAAACAGAUCCAUAAACCCCGUUUCCCAUUAACCUUUCUUUUCCCCUACCUCUGGUGGGUAGUGAGCUAGAAGGGAGGGUGAAGCAUUAAAAAACCACAAUUAAAGUAGGUUUUGAAAAAACCCUAAGUCUAUAAGGCAUGGUGGCUCAUGUCUUCAGUCUCAGCACUCAAGAAGCAGAGGCAGUUGAAUCCCUGUGAGUUCAAGACAAGCCUAGUCUACAUAAGGAGUUCUAGGAUAGCCAUACUAGACUAGAUUACAUAGAGCCCUUGUCUUAUCAAAGAAAAGUAAUACUAAUUAGCAAAGUAACUUAAUGAAUUUUGACGAAUAUACUGAAUAUUUACGUAAGUUACUAUUGCUGUCUAAGGUGCCUAGAAAGUGCUUUUCCUAUAAAGUAGUCACUCGUAUUUCAAGCUCCCAAGGUACCAAAAGCCUGGCGUCUCUACCUUCAUCUAUGUUUCUCUCCAUUACUCUGCAUACUACAUCAUCACAUGCUUUAACUCAGCGUGAGCUCUGCUAAGUAUUAAAGAAAUAUGUGUUUAAAGACCAAGGCUAGAUACCCUGUUUCCAACAGUUCAAGACACAGAGGUAUCUUAUCACAGCUUUCAUGAUGCCCUGUUCUGGGACUCUGAAUGUCUCCAGACACAGUGUUAAAUCUGUAAUGAGUCUUAAUUGCAGGAACUGCAGUGCCUCAAAGACAGUGGGAACUUCUGCUUGUCAUACGGAAGCAGAGCUCAGAUAAUGGUCAACAGACCACAGAGAUAAGGACCAACCAGGCCGCACAGAGACCAAGCCUGCUUAGUCAUGCUUUUGAAACCCAUCCCCUAUAUAAGCCCAAAGCUCAUAGCAGUGCCCCGAUGAUGGACUUGUAGACACUGAGCCUCUUUAUCUGCACCUCCAAACAUACCACAUUGCUCAAUUCUUCUCUGCCUGUCAGUACUUUGUGUCUCUGUGAUUGGUGUGGUGUGCCAGGUGGUUGAGCCUAGUUGCUUGGGAUUCCCAGAGCUCCUGCCAUCACCACAGUGGUUUUGAUUGCAUUCCUCUAACUAAUAGUGCUGAGCGUGCUUUAUGUACUCUUGUGCUCAUCCUCUCCCAGGCAGCCUUCUCUCAGAUGAGCAGCGAUCCAAUGUGAGUUCUGCCUCCUCCCUGUGAGAGCCAAACUCAAAUUUCCCCUCUGAUUUGUCUCCCAGACUCUGCCAAUCAGACAGAUGAAUGUGGUGUCUGGAGAAGAAGCAGUUUAGUGUUCCUGCAGUGUCAAGGUCAAGUUUUCCUCACAAGUGGAAUAAAAACAUAAGUAUGAGUAUUUGUCCCAGUGUUCAGGGAUGCAAGAGCGGUUUCUUAGAGAAAACAAUGUAAAGCCUUUUAGAAUCAGUCUCAAAAAUAAAAUAUACAGCAUUAUUUGAAAUAACAAUUAUUAUUAUUAAGUAAUAAUUACUUAAAUAAUAUGUAUAAUAAUUAUUCUAAGAAAUAGUUAUUAUUUUUUAAAAGAUUUAUUCAUUAUGUGUAAAUACCUUGUAGCUGUCUUCACCACCUCUUCAGACACACCAGAAGAGAGCAUCAGAUCUCAUUACAGAUGGUUGUUGGCCACCAAGUGGUUGUUGGGAUCUGAACUCAGGAUCCUUGGAAGAGCAGUCAGUGCUCUUAACCAGUGAGCCAAAUCUCCAGCCCCAGAUAUUUAAUAUUUAUAAAUGUAAUAGUAGUAAUACAUUAUUAUUAUUGGCAGGGUCUCACUAUGUAGCCCUGUCUGGCCUGGAACUCACCGAAAUUCACCUCCAUCUGUCUCUCAAGGGCUAGGAUUCAAGGCAUCAACAGGACUAACAGCAGUUCUUUGUGACACUUAAUAGCUACUUGAUCAGAUCCUUUGUGUUAUAUCAUUAUUUUGGAAGAAGGGAACAGAUUUAUUUUGCUUAGCUCAAGACUGAAAUUCUAGAAUAUAUGUCAAGUCCUUAUAGGAAAACACCUACCAGGAAUCUACCUGAAGUGAUAAUAGAGUGAACAGAUUUAAUGGAAACACUGUGAAAACUGUCAAAGAUAGAGCUUUUCUCUCUGGACGUCAUUCUAAAUUAAAAGCAUCAAAAUGACAACCUAUGGUCAUUCUUGGCCAAACACUGGUCAAAAUGUUCUCUGCAAUUACAGAAACGACCUUGUCAUUUCAGUCACAAUCACCAACAAUGUUUUCUACCAAUACCUAAUGUGACUGAUUAGAAGAUGUUAGCAUUUUGAAAACCUUUUCUUAGCUACCUUGUGAGUGUGAAACCGUAUCACUCAAUAUUUAGUAGCAGGCAGUGUUAAUGGAUGGGAUUUUAAGGUUUUUAUUGGAUGAAAUAUGGCAAUAUACGGAAAACCUGUAUAAACCAAAGAACGAGUAUUUUCCAGAAGACUUAUACAAGCUGCUCAAGAAAUAGCUUAGCAGUUAAGAGCACUAACUGCUCAUCUGGAGGACCAGGGUUCAAUUCCUGGCACCCAGCUUGUGGUUCACAAACAUCUCUAAUUCUACUUCAAGGGGACCCAAUGCCCUCCUCUGGCCUUAUGUGUACUGUAUACAUAUGGUGCAUAGAUACAUAUAAAGGCAAAAACACUUAUGUACAAAACUAAUAAAUAUACAUAUAUAUUAUAGCUUUUUAAAAGAUCAUUACAAAUUUAAGAAUGUUAAAAUUGUGAAUACCCUUUAAGUGUGAGUCACUUUGAAUGGAAACUAUAACCAGGACAGCAAGGUCACUGAUACGGUUUUAUAACUGGCCUGGUAAUUGACAUUAACAAACUCUCAUUCUUAAAUAAAAAUGUUCUGAAACUCUAUUUUUCCCUUUCAUAAGGGUUUUUUUUUAUUCCAUUUUGUGAUUUUUAAUGAUAUAUAUGUUUGCAAGUCUCUGUGUGGGUAUGUACAUGCAAGUGCUGGUGCUCCCAAAGGCCAGAGGAACUGGGGUGCCUUGUAACUGGACUGAUAGGUGGUUGUGAGCAAUUGUCAUGGGUACCGGGAAAUGACCUCCGAUCUCCUGCAAGAGCAGCAUGGCUUUUUUUUGCUGAGCCAUCAUCUUUCCAGUUUCCUUCUUUGCUUUUUGAGUCGGGGUUUUUAUUAUGUAGAUAAGUCUGGCUCAGUCCAUGUUCUAAAAGAACCUCUCUAUUAGCUUGUUAUGAAAUAGUAUGAGUUAGAUGUUAGAUUACCAUAUUUUCUAAUGACUUACAUAUUUUUAUUUUAUGUGCAUUAGUGUUUUGCCUGCAUUGGACAUCUUUGACAGAGUGGGACUUGUACCCUGGUACUGAAUUUCAGACAGUCGUGAGAUGUCAUGUGUGAGGUGGGUAUUGAUCUUAACUGCUGAGGCAUCUCUCCAGGCCAGAUCAUGAUUCCUAAUAUUACCACAAUUUAAAUAGCCUAAGGUCUAAUCGCAUAAUUUUGCUAGUAGACUAAGAAAUUGUGAUUACCUUCAUAAAAGUGGGUAUAGGUUUUUGGGCUUUUAAACUUAAAAGCCUAGUCUUGUUUAUUUUAUGUGCCCCUUCGUGUGUGUGUGUCUGUGUGUGUGUGUGUGUGUGUGUGUGUGUGUGUGUGUGUACACAUAUGCCAUGGCUCUAAGGUGGAGGCAGAGGACAGCUUAUUGGAGACAGUCCUUUACUUCAACUAUGUAAAUUCCGAGGUCAAAUUCAGAAGAGACUUGGUUUCAGGGGUCUUUACCGAACUAUCCAACUAUCUUUCCAGCCUAGCUUUCUCCUCUUAGUAUCUUAUUUGCUAUUUAACUGCCUAAAACAGAAUGGAACCAACCCUCCGUAAGAUUUGGUGCCAUAGGUUCUUCAGCUGUCUUGAGGGCAACAUUCACAGCCCAUUUCCCUUUUGAAAUAGGACCUUUCUGUCAUCUCCCACACCACUUUAAACAUAAAGAUCCUUUCAACAUUUCCCAUGAGAGCCAUCCCAGCCUCACCACAAACGUCAGGGCUCCCACAUCUCUCUGCUUUUGCAUCAUGCCUCAUAUGCCCUCUGCCCUAGGUGAGACUCCAAGUGGGUGCUGAGAGGAGAACACAGGUCCUUUGCUAGAACAGUUGCUCUUAUCCACGAAGCCAACUCUCCAUCUGCCUCGCACACUAGGGUCUGCACCUUCCACCUCCCAGUGGGGGACCUCAAUUCUGACCCCUGAACCUCAGCGAGUUUCAGGGACCCAGCUGGGUGGGUGGGAAUGUGGUUCGCUGGGGAGGUAUCCAUCCUUUUGCUCAUCUCCUUCCGGGAGGAGUCCGGAAGCAGCACCUACAGCUCCGCCCUCCACAGCCUCAGCCAAGAGCCACCCGCCUUGGCAAAAUGACAAAACCUUGGGCACCGGACACAAGCAGGGAGCACUACCCUGGCAGUUCUAAGCCCCGCCCAAGCUGACCACGAAACACCUGGGAUCCGCCUCUCGCACGUUUUUAAUUUUUUCCCUUAAGAUUUUGCUCCACUCCCAAGCAGCAAGCCCCGCCCUCAUCCUAUUUCUCCAGGUCCGGGCUCCGCCUUCGGCGCUCCUAAGUUCCGCCCUCAUUCUGUUGCUCUACACUCGGACUCUGCCUCUCGCGCUCCGAACCCCGCCCUCAUCCUAACUGCCCAAUAUCUGUCCUCCGCUUGCUAAUCUUCUAAGCCCCGCCCUCAUCCUAAUUACUACAAACCUGGGCUCCGCCUUCAUGGUUUCUAAGAUCCGCCCUCAUUUCUGUUGCUUCUCUCCGGGGCUCCGCCUCUCGCCAGCCCAGCCCCGCUCUACACACAGGGUUCUGCCUUCUGUGCCCCUAAGCUCCUCCUUCAGUCUCAUGACUUCACACUGAGGUCCUGCCUCCCAGGCUCUGUCCUCCCUUCUUUUCCAGCAUGUCCGUGCACUGGCUGUAGACUCCACACCCUUCAGUAUGGCAACACAACUACUUAAUCCUUAGAGGAUGUGCAGCCAAUCAAGAAACCCUUGGGACAGGAGUUACAGACAUGAACUGCUGUGUGGGUGCUGGGAAAUGAACUCAGGUCUUCUGGAAGAACAGCCUGGCUUCCUGAGUCAUCACUCUAGCCCUUGGAUUAUUUUUCAAGACAUUUCUCAUCUGUGCCUUAAAGAAUACUAGAAUUGUAUCUUAUAAGUAUAUCUUAAAGUGCAUUGUCUCCUGAAAGAAAGGUUUAUUUGCAUACCAAAAUCAAUCGUCUAAAUGUAAUUAAAAUGUUUUUAAUGCAAAAGAGGCGAAUGUGUAUGAAAGUUUUCAUCUGCUUCAUCAUAGUAUUCAAGAAAUUCUGGAGAAUUUCAGAUAUUCAAGAUUGCGGACAUGUAAUCUUUUUGGUUUUCUAAUUUUUGUUUUCUUUCAGGUUUUUUGGGAGGUUUACUUUCUAUAACUGCCAGGUCAGGGAGGGGGGUCUCAAUAUAUUGCCCGUACCUGAACUCCAAGGCACAAGUAAUUCUUUUGCCUCAAGAAUCCCAAAUGAUGAAAUUACAGAAUUGUGAGUUCAUACUGUCUAUGUAUACUUUGAUAAGACUUUGGAUUUAGAGUUUGGCAGAGACAUGGGAUAAGAUAUUUCUAUGAAUUUAGAAAUAUGGAGAGUGGUGGCUGGAGAGAUGGCUCAGCGGUUAAGAGCACUGACAGCUCUUCCAGAGGUCCUGAAUUCAAUUCCCAGCAACCACAUGGUGGCUCACAACCUUCUCUCAUGAGAUCUGAUGCCCUCUUCUGUGAGACAGUGACGGUGUACUCACUUAAAUCUUUAAAAACAAAAAAAAAAAAAAAAAAAAAAAGAAAUCUGGAGAGCAUAGUGAUGUGGAUUGCAUUAUGUUCCAUUAAAACCUAUAUGCUAUGGUAUAGUGGCACAUAUCUGUAAUCUCAGCACUUGGGAGAUAGAAUUAGGAAAAUUAUAAACUCAAGGCCAUUCUUGGAUACAUAUAGUGAGUUUGAGGCCAAGCUGGGCUACAUAAAACCUUGUUUCAAACAAAAGUAGAUAAGCAAAGAAUUUUUUAUAUUUCCCAGUGAGGCCAUAUAGUUGCUAUGGUUGCCCUGACCACAUAAUAUAGACAUUGUCAAGAAAGAAAAAUGGUACAAGUGCAGGGUGUCUGUCUGUCCUCCAAGAACUCAGGAGGCCAGGGCAAGAGGCAGAAAGCUCUCAGGUUGGGAAAUGGCCUGGGUUACAAACUGGGACUGUGUGAGAAAGCAAGUGAGAAGACACUGCAGAGGGAGACGGCUCCGUGGUUAAGAGCACUUGCUGUGCCGGGUAGCACAGACUUUAAUCCCAGGAUGCAGGACACAGAGUCACGCUGAUCUCUGUGAGUUCAAGGCCAGUUCCUAGAGGGACUCUUAACCACCCCCAAACAACAGCAACAGCAGCAGCAACAACAGCAACCAUGACAACAACAAGAAGCCGCUCUUGUUGCUUUUGCCGAAGACCUAGGUUUGGUUCCCAACACCAGCAUGGCAGUUUACAGCCUUCUGUAGCUACAGUUGAAGGGGAUCUGAUCCUUCUUCUGACCUCCAGGGGCACCAACCACACCUGUAAAAUGCACAUAGAUGCAUGUUGGCAAAACACUCACACAUAUCACAUCUUAAAGAGUUAAAAAAAAAAAAGACAAUACAGAUCGGGGAAAACAAUUUGCAAACUCUGUGUCUUACAGUCAGCCUUGAAUAUAUGAAUAAGUCUAAACUCAACAAAAAGACAACCCAAUGUAAAAAUGAGAGAUGAUGCCAGGCAAGUGGUCAAAGUCUGUAAUUCUGGCUAAUGGGCAGGUUGAAACAGGAAGGUCACGAGUUCAAGUCCUAACUCAGCAACUGAGUGAGACCCUGCCUCAAAUUUUCAAACAGAAAAUGAGGACUGAGGGUCCAGCUCUAGUAGAACACUUGACUCAGAGAGACAGAGAGGAAGGGAUGAGGGGAAGGAAUUGAAGAGAUAUUUCUUUAAUGAUAUACAAACAGCAGGAAGAACAUUGAAAGUUGACUGUAUAGUCAUUAAGAAAAUGCAAAUCAUAAUUUUACUAAGAUACCCCAUCAAACUUUUGAGGAUGUCUGAAAGAGAAAGUUUUAAGAAGGAGGGACUGGUUCCCCCCAUAUACUGCUAUUGGAAAUGAAAAUGAUUUUACAAGCAAAGCAUCUUUGUAAAAAUAUGGAAUAAUUCUUUGAAAAUUCAGUUACCACAUGACACAAAAACUCCACUCUUAGUUGUAUAUCAAGGAAUAAAAACGAAUGUCCACUCCAAAUUUGGUACACAGGUUUUUUCUUAGACUGAGUCUUGGCUUUGGUGCCCAUGUUUCUCCUUCUUAAAGGUAAGUGGUAUUCUCAUGGGCUCCAAUCUGGGAGAUCAGACGAGAUCUUGUCCUGCCUUGGGAAGGUGGGGACAACAGAGAGGGCCAGGGCACUGUCUGUGCUCAUGUGGGAGGGGCACAAAGGCAGAAAAAUGCAGUGGGGCACAUUUGGCAAUUGGGAGAAUCUGGUCAGUCAUGGGCAGUCCCCUGCACCCUGGCCUGCUCCCUCCUACUAUCUCUGUCUACUGUAUACACAUAGGAAGGAAACUGGUCCAGGCAAGAAACUGCUGCCUGUCUCACAGUCAGCCUUCCUUCCCAGGCCCCUGUUUGCUCAGUCUGCUUGCCAGAGCACUGAUGAGAACCUGCCCAGAGUAGAGGCCACUUGGGUUUCCCUGAAUCCAUGCAGCCGCUGCCCUCUCUGAAUCCAUGCAGUUGCUGCUCACUCUGAGGCGCUGUGGUGGUUGUCCUGCAGCAGGCCUGGGCUUAUCUCCAGUGAAAAGGCCAUCAGGGUGCAAAGGGCAAGGGGUGGAGCUGUUAAGGCCCAAUUCUGAGAGGAUGCACACUGGACUGAGGACUGGAACAUGGAAAUCCCAAGAUCCAGAACCAGGUGAAAACUAUCCUAGGCUGCCUGUCCUUGUCAGGGGAAGGCAUGCCAUGGGGCACACUGGUGGCAAAAGCUCAGUUUCCUGGGCCUUUCCAUUAUCCAUUCCAUAGCUCCCUUCUGGGCCUGACAUUCCUCUCAGACACAUGGCAAUCAAGGCUGUCUGCUCAUCUGUCAUCCACCCGAUCCCUCACACCUGUUCCAGGCCCAGUCCAUGAGCUGCCCACCCUCACGGAACAGCUAUGAAGAGGGCACAUGGAGGGGUGUGUGUUCAGGAGCCUGGUCACUGAGAGGGACAGCUGUCCUGGACUGCAGCUGCCAGGUGAGGUGGUGGUGGAGAUGGAUGGACCCUGGUGCCCAAGGACUGACUAGCUGAGGUACCUUGAAUCGGGUCCUCCGGCAUGGACCCCCACCUCGAAGUUCAGGGUGACAGUGCCCCCCCCGCUUCAUCUCACUAAUCCUACUUUGUUCUCAGUUACUAAUUCUUUCAUAAUACAGAAUUAUCUCUUUAGUCUCUUUUUUUCUGCCCCAUUGUUCCCAGAAGCACUGGGCUAUGAGUGGAUAUUCAUCCAUCAACAAGUAGGUGUUUUGAAGGGAUCCUAGGGUGGGAGGUGACUGAGGAGUUGGAGUCCAUUUGAGACAGAGGGUUCAAGUUGGGGUCUAGAGCUGAGGGGUAAAGUAUAUACCCCUAUGCACUAUACACACACACACACACAUGUAUGUGUAUAUAUAUAUGUGUGUGUUUAUAUAUAUAUAUAUAUGUUUCUGUGAAUAGAUAUAUGCAUACAUAAUAUAGAUGUAUUAUACUGAGGGACUUGAGUUUUGUCACAGCACCACCCAGAGUUGAGAAGUGUAAUAGCUAUGUACCAGGCCUGGUGUGCGGGUACUGAGUAAGAUUUGUCAAGAGCACGGUUCUUGACCCCAUGGACCUUCCCCUGAACAAGUCACAUGAGCAGGGGCUGCAGAGACAGGAUCAGCUGCCUUUGUGUGUAGCCUGAGAGGCUCUUUGGUAUUGGGUCUUCCCAGCAUGGUGCAUGGGGAUGUCUUUUAAGUACUACAUCUACUGACAUAUAUUAUCUAGUAGUUGAUUUGCUUAUAAACAAACUGAGUGUGGUGGCUCGUGCCUUUAGUGUCUGAGUCCGAGGUCAGAAUGGCCUGAAGAGUGAUUUCCCGAACAACCGAGAACACACGGAGAAGCCUUGUCUCAACCAAACCAAAUAACAAAGGAGCCACAGUUCUUGUUUUCAUGAUUGCAUUGCUAAGGUAAAUAAGGAAUAAAGGGAAUUGAUGUCACUAGGUGGGGCAGCACACACUAGAAUCCCAGCAGAGGCAGAGGCAGAGGCAGUUGGAUUUCUGAGUUCAAGGCCAGCCUAAUCUACAGAGUGAGUUCCAGGAAGGCCGGGACUAAACUGAGAAACCCAGCCUUAAAACCAAAAAAAGAAAAGAAAAAAAGAAAAAAGUGAAUUGAUUUCAAAGGUAUCUAUCACAAGGGCCAGCAAUAUGGCUAAGUGAGCAAAGGUGCUUACCAUUAAGCCUGAUGACUUGAGUUCAACUCCUAGAACACACAUAUUUGAAGGAGAAAAUUUACUCAUGCAAGUUUUCCUCUGACUUAACCAUGCACAUAGUACAACACCACAAAACCUUUGUGUAAGUUGAUAAGUUAGUGCUAAUUAUGCUUUAAGUAAGGUAGCUUGGAAGACAUUAUACACACACACACACACACACACACACACACACACACGAGUCCACAUAUGCAGACAUAAUACAUGUAAUAUAUAUAUAAUAUAUAGAUUUCUAAUAUAUAUAUGAAGUAUCAUCAAAAGAUAAUAAAUUAGGUGCAUGACUUCUGUAAUUCUAGUACUCAGGAGGCUGAAGUCAAAGGAAUGAAGGUUGAGGUCAGCCUGGACUAUAUAGCAAGACCUUAGUUGAAGCAAAGACACCACGAGGGUCUGGUGUGGUUGAUGAGGGUAACACUGGUCAGAGCCCUGUGACCCCAUAUCUGUCAUCUGAGUUUUGUCACCCUAUCUCUGGUUUCAGUCCCUUUCCAGGUCAUUCAGACUCAUGACAAUGUUUUUCUUCUUGCUGAUUGGUGGGCAACAUUUCUGCCCUGUUCUAGUCACAGCAUAACCUAAGCUCACACACUGUCUCUGUGUUUUCAGGCCAGUCUGGCAUACUUGGUCUCCUGGGGUGCUCACACGACUUAGAGAAUGUGGGAGAAAGCCUGCCUGGGUUCAGGUCCCUGCUCACUUCAUUUGUCACAGGAAGACCUUGAGCCGUGGAUGACCCACAUCCUCCAGGACUCACGGUUGCUCUUCCUGCCUUGCUGCACACCCUGCAGCUGUCCUUCCUUCCCCCAGCAUUAUGAUGGUCACAGGGGGAGACUGCCGCUGUUCUGGGUUGGGAAUGGAGAGCGUUUAGUAAGGGGACGGUUUGUCAGAGGCUAAGCAUCGGCUUGGAUGCUGCUGGAAUUGUUUGCUUUCCUUCCUCCUACUGAACGACUCCAUGUGAACCAUGCAUAGCGCAGACACCGCAAACAAUAUCUCUCCUUCUGUGCAUGACUGUGUCCUCGUUCACAUGUUCUUUUCACCCAUAAUGGGAAAGGUUAACACUUCUCAGCAGCCUCUCUCUCUCUCUCUCUCUCUCUCUCUCUCUCUCUCUCUCUCUCCUCUCUCUCUCCGUAAUACAUCUUCCAUGCUACCUUAAUUACAGCAUACUUAACAUCCCCUUAACAGCUUACACAAGAUUUCACUGUAGAAAGGAAGUGCCAAAGGAAAGAAAACUGGUACUUGAGUGUCACUUAGGGCUGUAAGACUGCUCAUCAUUUGUGCCGAACUCCUACCCAGACUUCCUGGGUUCUGCACCAGAGUUGUAGGUCUCAUAACCUGCAUCAGGAUAGGCAGUUCACAGCCUACACUCUGGAUCCUGUGGCACUUCCCUCUGUGCUGUGUGGUAAGUGAAGAAGUCUCACGGAAAAACCAUUCUUCUCCUGGGCAGUGCUAGUACACACAUUAAAUCCAGGCGCUUGGGAGCCCCUCACCUACAGGGCAAAAUCCAGGACAGCCAGGGCUACACAGAGAAACGCCAUCUCAAAUGAACAAGCAAAGAAACAAAGAAGCAAACCCUGAGUCUUUGUUUAUACCAUUGCAUUGCUUAAGGUAAAAUGAAGAAGAAUUGGUGAUGCUGGUCAGUGGUAACUAACACCUUUUAUCUUGGGACUUAGGAGACAGGCUUGUCUACAUGGUAGGUUCCAGGGCAGCCAAACCUAACAGCAGGACCUUGUCUUGGGAAAGCAAGAGCAGACACAGAAUCAGACUUCUGUAAGUCAUUUGUAGGAAAAUGAGUGGAGUUAGAAAUCAUUAAAUAAUGUCAAACAAAAUAAGGUCAACCCAGCGAGGCAAAUGCAUGCUUAAACACUUACACACACACACACACACACACACACACACACACACAUACACACACACACACAUACAAACACACACACACAAACACACACACAAACACACACACACACAAACACACACACAAACACACACACACAAACACACACACAAACACACACACACACACACAAACACACACACACACACACACACACACACACACACACAUGCAGAUAUGUAAAAGAAUUCCUGAAUUGAAAUUCAGAAGAAUGUGUCAGUGAGAUGACUUGGUAUCUGCCCCUGACUCCAAGCCUAUUGAUUCACACAUUAGAAGAAGGGAACCAGUACCCGAUACCCAAAAGUUGCCCUUUGGCUCUCUCAGAUUCAUCUGGCAUGGGUGCACUCAUGCACAUCAAAUAACCUUCCUCCCUGCCCCCGCCAGCGGGCACCUAGUUAUUCAGGGUCCCAAAGAGGCCUUCUACCUGUGUAUCAAUGGGGGUGAAGAGAAGAAGGAGACCAAGCAAAAGUUCUGUUGUCAAGGUCUCAUUUAAUGGGGUGAGCGUUACAGGUUUUAAGGCUUUCAGGUAGGGGGAGUGUCCUUUGUGAAACACAAAGAAUGGAGGGAGGAGGGCAUUCCAGCAAUGAUAGCAGAAGGUGAGGAGGUCAUGCAAUGGAGACGCCAGAGUCUGGUGUUUGCUCAGGCUGAAACAUCCUGUGAAUGUUAUCUUUCUGUGCCAUAAAUUCAUGGGAGAGGAUUUUUGUCCAACAAUCUCAAGACUUUAUGGCAGUCAUUUCAAGGUUGAACCUCUGUGGCCAUGCAGCCAAGAGUCAUGUAGCCACUUUGAGCCAUAGUCACAAAGCGGCCAGGCCCAAAUCCAAUAUGGCUCCCUACACCUCCCAAAACUAAAGAGCCAAAAAGGGGUGACCUUCUGGAAAUGUUUACCAAGUUUAUUAUCACACGCACUUGGAGGACAUCUGCCAUGGUCUGUGGGGACCCAGCUAUCUCUUGAGUUAGCCACAGAACUGGCUAUUAUCUAUGUGUUUGCUGAAGGCACAAGUUACAGGGACAUGGACUUACAUCAGGGUUCAAGAAAAAUCCUGUGGGGCCACACAGUGUGUGGAAGGGUUGGAUUCUCUGAUGCAUGAAGAAGGUCUAGGUUGCAGUAGAAGCCUCUGGACAUUGAAACUGCUGGAGAUGUGAGAAGUGAGAGAAAGCUGUAGGUACGCAGGAGAGUCUGCUCAUGGGAGAGGCCGUAACUGCAAAUGGCAGAACCGUGGAGGCUAGAAAGCCUAAACUCUUGCACCUCAGAUAUCUCCUUAUCCCUGGAUAUCAGAUGUGGAGCUGUAGAAUCUCAUGAUUAUGCAUGAGUCCUAUGGAAGAACCCGUUAAUAUCCCAAUGGUAUGGCCCUGAUCCGGUCCUCAUUUGGGGAUGUAGAUCAGCCUGCAUUGAUGAUUCAAAGACUGGGUGUGCCCAUUGGCUACCCCAGCGCCUUGUUAAGACCUUUAACCCACCCAGGGACAACCCUGAGGAAAAGUUUAACUAUGCUUAAUUACAGACAUUUCAAGGUUGAACCUCUGUGGCCAUGUUCCCCUACAUCUGGAAUCUUGGAAGCAUCAUCCCGACUGCCCUUGCUACAUCGCCUCACCAGAUCUUCAACUAUACUUGGGUGAUUCUUAAUGGCGCUGGAGAUGUGGUGUCUGCCAACUCCACCACUGCUGCACGAGUUCGCUGGCCCAAACUUGAGGUAGAUCUUUGCAAAUUAGUGCUAGGAGCUUACCUUGAUUGGAGCACAUGACAUCUUUGCCCCCCCCUGCCCUGAGCUGGCAGACCCCAGUACUGACCCGGGUUGCAGUAAUACACUCAGAAGAGCCACAUUGGCCCUUCAAAUUGGGGGGAUUUAUUUAUGCCCUGCUGACCACAGAGAUCAUACAAAGGCCAGAGGCUGUGGGUAUGAAACUGAUUUCUACUGUGCCUCCUGGGGCUGUGAGACCACUGGAGACACGUACUGGAAACCCAGCUCUUCCUGGGAUUACAUCACAGCUAAAAGAAAAUUCUCCAAUGCCUGGGUCACCAGUCUGGGCCGACAGCCCCUCAAUAACAUAUGCCCUACUGACUCGGACCUGAAUGGGUGGUGUAAUCCUAUCCAGAUCUCUUUUACAGAAACAGGGAAAAGGAUAAACUGGGAAUAGUGAGGUUUCAAGUGGGGACUUCACUUAUAUAAACAAUAUAGAGACUUUGGCCUCACCCUAAAAAUUAAAUUUCAAAAAACCCGGCCACAACCACCACCAGUGGCCAUAGGGACCAAUACACCUGCACCCAAGGUUGGGUCACAUUCGAGAGAUUCUGUACAGGUUACACAUCAACCCAACAAUUCAUCAUUUCCCUUUAUCAACCCACAUUCCCUGAUGGGCCCCCCUGUACUGUCAAUAUGCUCAUAGAAAUGCUUAAUAGCUCCUUACCAGCCCUCGCCAAUAUUAAUUCUACUAUAGCCCUAGAUUAUUGCUAGAUCUGUUAUCACUCCUCCCCUCCCUUUUACGAGGGACUAGCAACCUUUGGAAACCUCACCUUUACUAAUGAGACCCAUUCCCUACACCAGUCAGCAAACUCUGAACCAAAAAUAAUGCUCUCACAGGUCGCUGGAAUUGGCCUCUGUCUAUUAGGACCCCAUGUGAUUCGGCCCUCCCCCCUGACACUUACUUGCAAUGAGAUAGUGGUGGUUACCACGAAGACCAACUCCAUUGCUGGCCCUAAGGGCACUCAUUUUGCCUGCUCAGCAGGCUUAACACCUUUUGUGGUAACAUCUACCUUUUUGACAGAAAAAGAUUAUUGUGUCCUUGUCCUCCUUUUUCACGAUUAACUAUUCAUGACUCCUCUAAGUUCCUGCAGUUCUGGGAAAGAGGCACCUCCACGCGUACGAAGAGAGAACCCAUCACCACCGUGACUCUGGCAGUACUCCUAGGUCUGUCAGCUGUGGGGACAGGAACCAGGGUUGCCUCCCUGAUCACCUCCCAACAAAAUUAUCAUCAGCUCAGUGCCACCAUAGACAGGGGUAUCAGUGAGCUUCAACAAGGAAUAACCUCUCUUAAAGAUUCAGUCGCUUUCUUGGCUGAGGUUGUUCUACAAAAUAGAAAGGGAUUAGAUCUUCUCUUUCUUCAACAGGGAGGGCUCUGUGUGGCCCUCAAGGAGGAGUGUUGCUUUUAUGCUGAUAAGACGGGAUUAGUAGAAAACAGCCUACAAAAGGUUAGAGAAAGUCUACAAAAGAGACAAAGAGAAAGAGAAGAGAGUGAAGCCUGGUAUAAAAACUGGUUUUCUGCCUCUCUCCUGCUCACCACUCUUCUACCCAGUAUCCUGGGUCCCUUUAUAGGACUCCUGCUGCUCGUCUCCUUUGGCUCAUGGGUGCUUAGAAAGUUAACUGAUUUUAUCAAGGCCCAGGUGGAUUCAGCUACCAAGCAGGUGUCGGUCCAUUACCACUGCCUCCGUUGAGAGGAGGCUGAGACAACCGGGGAGUGUGAUACUCCCCUUGGGUCGCCCACGGCUGGCCUCGACUUCUCCACCCUAAAUACAGCCUAUAACUCAGGCUGGAAAAUCAGUUGCUGGUGGAAGUGUCAAUGAUGGGAAUAUUAUGGUGCCACAUACCAGGCACACACCUCACCGCUGUGAAGUGACCCUAUGAUGGGAUUAGCACAGGUCCAUGAUCUGUGUCGCCCACUCCCACAAAACACACACGUAUAGCCCAGAAUGGUGUAUUUAGGCAUAAGAUCGUUCCUAGCCAUUGGGGUGCAGUUCUAACUGCAAGAGUGGCUCACCAUAGCCGAGCUGGGCACUCUGUAAGGCAUGUCUGAUCUAUCUCAGAUCACUACUUCCCCCCUGGUGGAAAUAAUGGAACUUAAGUGAGAGUGCCGGACAUGGGGGCAACCUGUGUAGCCUAAGACACGGGGUUUCACUGACCAGGUGCUGGAUGCACAUACCCCAGACCUUCCUCCCACUGAUAGUUUAAGAAAGGCGGAGAUGUCCGGGACCAGACUGCUGGACUAGGCAAAGCUAGAGCCCUGCCCUGGGCAGAUUCCUGAGAAGGGCUUGAACAGGUUCCCGGAAGACUGUUGCCUCAUUAUCUAAGAAGACUAUCUUGCAGUUUAGAGAUUCACCUUAUGUCCUUGGGCACUCCCCAGUUCUCCCCACCCCAGCCCACCCUAAGCUUUAGUUCCUGCUUCAGGGCUUUAAAUGCUGUACACUCCUCCUAAUAAACAGACCUUGACAAGGACA